rnacentral:rRNA from 1 species
UGCCAGCCGCCGCGGUAAUACGGAGGGAGCUAGCGUUGUUCGGAAUUACUGGGCGUAAAGCGCGCGUAGGCGGCUUUGCAAGUAGAGGGUGAAAUCCCGGGGCUUAACCUCGGAACUGCCCCCUAAACUGCAGAGCUAGAAUCCUGGAGAGGUGAGCGGAAUUCCUAGUGUAGAGGUGAAAUUCGUAGAUAUUAGGAAGAACACCAGUGGCGAAGGCGGCUCACUGGACAGGUAUUGACGCUGAGGUGCGAAAGCGUGGGGAGCGAACAGGAUUAGAUA